GAUGAACGCUGGCGGCGUGCCUAAUACAUGCAAGUCGAGCGAACAGACGAGGAGCUUGCUCCUCUGACGUUAGCGGCGGACGGGUGAGUAACACGUGGAUAACCCACCUAUAAGACUGGGAUAACUUCGGGAAACCGGAGCUAAUACCGGAUAAUAUAUUGAACCGCAUGGUUCAAUAGUGAAAGACGGUUUUGCUGUCACUUAUAGAUGGAUCCGCGCCGCAUUAGCUAGUUGGUAAGGUAACGGCUUACCAAGGCAACGAUGCGUAGCCGACCUGAGAGGGUGAUCGGCCACACUGGAACUGAGACACGGUCCAGACUCCUACGGGAGGCAGCAGUAGGGAAUCUUCCGCAAUGGGCGAAAGCCUGACGGAGCAACGCCGCGUGAGUGAUGAAGGUCUUCGGAUCGUAAAACUCUGUUAUUAGGGAAGAACAAAUGUGUAAGUAACUAUACACGUCUUGACGGUACCUAAUCAGAAAGCCACGGCUAACUACGUG
rnacentral:rRNA from 1 species